rnacentral:rRNA from 1 species
AACGCGAAGAACCUUACCAACCCUUGACACCGGGCGGGAACCAGAGAUGGACCUAGUGGCUGGACCGGAGACAGGUGCUGCAUGGCUGGAGCGUGGUGAGAUGUUGGGUUAAGCCGCAACGAGCGCAACCCGCCUUUAGUUGCCAAUAGUUGGGCACUAAAGAGACUGCCGGGGAACGGAGGAAGGCGGGGACGACGAAGAAUGGCCCUUACGGCCAGGGCUACACACGUGCUACAAUGGGGUACAAAGGGUUGCUACCUAGCGAUAGGAUGCUAAAAAAAGCCGAGUAGCGGAUUGGAGUGCAACGACCAUGAAGGGAAGCUAGUAAGCGGAAGAAUGCCGCGGUGAAUACGUCCGGGUUGACACACCGAA